CCCUUAGAUGUUCUGGGCUGCACACGUGCUACACUGGCAGGUUCAGCGAGCUUCAUGCCCUGAUCUGAAAGGAAUGGGAUAUCUUUUCAAAACCUGCCGUGCUUGGGAUAGAUGUUUGCAAUUAUUCAUCUUCAACGAGGAUUGCCUUGUAAGCGCACGUCAUCAGCGUGCAUUGAAUACGACCCUGUAUUCUGUACACACCGCCCGUCGCUCCUACCGAUUGAAGUUUUCGGUGAGUUGACAGGAGGAUUUUUUUGAAACUGGUUCGCCAGUGGAUUUUAGAUCCAAAUGCCAACGAAUCGAUGGCUUUAGAGGAAGGAGAAGUCGUAACA
rnacentral:rRNA from 1 species